rnacentral:lncRNA from 1 species
GGCAUUGAGAUCAAGAGGAAGGGACGAGAUGCAUUGAGAUGGGAAAGGCAGCAAGAGAGAACUCACAUAAGUAAAACUCACAGAAAUCCUUCUUAGCGCAUGCCCUUAAUUCUUUUGUUUUGUCGCAUAAUUCAAAAGCCUCAAUGCCCCUUCCAGAUUAAGAUAAGAUUCUAUUCCUUAUCUGAAUCAAAUUCAAAAGAAAGGAUGAGUCAAAGGGGAGAGAGAGUCCCAGAGAGGUGGGGCGGCAACUAUUGGUGCCC